GACACACACACGCGUACACACGCACACACACACACGCGAGCACACACGAGAUAACUCGCUCCUCUCCCGCUGGUACAACUGAAGUCUUUUUAUCCACAUUGUCCUUGAACGUUACUUCCCGGAUCUCAGAUUUCGACCAAGUCGAGGGAGCAACGAGGAGACGGACCCGGAGUAACGCUGUGUGCAGGUGGUGUUUCUAUCUGCAGCAUGCAGCCGGUUGAAGCCCAAACAGGUAUGUAUUUUGCUGUCUGCAUGUGGGCUCCCAUGCUAACUCAACUUUUGACCAGGGCUCCGCAACAGCGACCCUGGUAUUGUAAGCAAUUUUGAGUACUUUAGCAGGUGAAUACAUUACUGUUUGUCUGUGCAAGAUGAAAUCAUGAAACUUUACAGGUGUGGAGUUGAGAGCAACAUGGAGGCAGAGUUUGAAGACGGGUGUGGGAUGAGCGCGGUGCCAGAAGUUUGGGGGUAGAAAGUGGAGAAGAGGCCAAUGGCCCCUCCCCCCACUGUAUCCCCUUGGCCUGGUUUGGCGUUGUUAUCCCAUCUCAAGGUGGUUUCUUGUCUGUAAGGAAGUUUGUCUGAUACAUUCUCUGUUUGUAGGCAUUUCUACCAAAAGCCUGCUGUUCAAUUCUUUGAGGGUCUAUCUGAACAACAAGAACAGACUGCAACCCAUUAUUGGCCUGGGCAGCAUUAUAGAAUGCGUGAAGGCGGGUACACAAAACAGAGAAGUGUUUUACCUGUGUGACGUGUGUGUGUGUCGACUUGGUAAAGCUGACAUGCGGAACCACAUUAUGGGAAGCCUCCACAGAUACAACUACAUUAAAGCCUGGCACCCUCACUUAGUGUGUGAAUGGCAGGAGAAGUCUGACCUGUCUAAACUGGCCCGGCCGCUGAUGGAGAUGGCCACGGUACUUGAGGGAAAAGAGGGGCCUGGAGAAGUCCAGUGGUUAGAGGUUGAAGAUGCUGUAUACCAGAAGAUGACAACACACAGUGAGAAAGCGGCAGUAACAGCAGUAACUCUGAUAACAAUCUUAAAAGAUGGGCAGGGUGAACCUGAGAGACAUUCACCUGUGCAGCUGCAGCCUCAUCCCGUCCAAUCGCAGAGGAUCGUAUUGUUCUCCCAGAACCAAGAAAGAACGUCCACGAAGUUCCUCAAGACCUCAGCAGAGACAAACAAAACUGUAGCUUUGGUCAAGUCCGAAGGCUGGUUAGAGAACACAUCACCUGAACCCACGGUUCUAUCGGAGAACAGCCACAGCCUUCUUGACGGCUACACAGGAACCACGCCUCUUAUUGAAAGGACAUCAUUGAUCACCUGACCAAAUCUUCCCAUCUUGUGAACUACUUGAUGGAAAUUCAUCCUGAGAACGUGGAGGUGAUGAUGGCAGAUAUUAAUAACAACUAUCCGCUUCUCCAAUCUCUGGCUAAGAAAGUGGAGCAAGAGGAGGGCAGAGGAGAGCUGCAGGUGUUAAACCCACCAGAAUCCCUGUGUAGCCUACUGACUGGCAAAAGUUACCACUGGUGUAUAAAGAUGCUGUGUAAUGGAUGGGUACAUACUGACAUCCAAAAGCGGAAAAUAGCUGUCAAAGGGCCAAGUGUGAACAAGACUUCAAAUGAAGUCAUGCCAGAAAAUUGUGGCGUGUUGCUGUCACAAUGGCCAAAAACGUUGACUGCUAAGAGGAAAACGAGGAAAGGGACUAAUCCUGUGUUCAAUGUAAGCAUGGCUCUCACCAAAGGUUCAAUGCUGCUGGAGAGGACCUCUCUCAGCACAGACUGCCUUCACGUGUCAUCUGCAUAUUCCCCUCCAGCCCACUUAGAUCUCACUCCCCUGCCAGAGUCCCAAUCGGAGUGCUUUGAGUUGAACGAUGACACGGGACCAUUGGAAAUGAACCACGCUGAACACGCCUCACAACUUCAGCAUGACCUCUAUAGUGGAGAUGCAGAUGCUGGUCAAUACAUGGAGCCAGAAAGAAACUCCACAGUCACUCAGCAUCAAGAGGGGGAGGGUUAUUUCAAUGACGCUGAAUACGACAAGCAGUCAGAACACUUAACUGUAACAAAAUACCGAAAGGUUUAUGGGGAAAAUAAUCACACCGGACAACAUGGUUAUGAAGAAAGAUCAAGAGAGAGGUUUUACAACGAGGGUCAAAAUGAAAGCCCACAGACACAAACCGGGUGGCUGUCACCUGCUGUCUCCUACACUCAGGACUUGUCAUCCUAUAACGCUCACUAUGAACGGGAGACGAGCUGCACGGAGCAGUGGUACAAUUCAACUUUACAGAGUAACGUUGGCGUAGUGUCAAGAGAAGGACACAAGAUGAACUUGGAUGUUGCGCAGCAUUAUUACUACCAACAACUCCAACAGAAUCAGUCCAUGGCACAAGGUCAUACAAGUCUUCUGACGGGCAGUGCAGGACAGCAUGGUGUGUCUGGUGAAGUGGCUGCUCAGUCAGAUGCUGCGUGGAUCAACGUUCACCCUUGCUUGGGAGAUCCCCUCUCUCACAGUGGCAGCAUUGCACCGGAGCCUACUGUACCGUUUCUUGAGAUUGAACAGAGACGAUUGCCAACAUACAUGGGAGUUCACCAUUGGUCAUGAUUUGAUGAUUUCUGGAAACUCGGAUUGAGCAAAUCCAUUUCUCCAAGUUUAAUUCUGCUUAUGUUGCCACCAUUGAGACCUCUACUGAAGGGACUGGUGUCCCUAUGUAAUGAAAUCCCGCUCCGAUGCUCAAGCUUGAUUUGUUAUUGUACCGUGGCGUAUUUUUAUGUUCCUCUAAAUUGAAUGGUCUCUGUCAGAAAUGGGAACCUCUUAAUGGAUGGAUGUUUUUUUCCUGGAGUGUUACAACCUUUAUAUCCUCAGUUUGCCACUUUGGCCCCUUUUUAUUGUUAACAUUAUUUAUGACUACUUUUUUUUUUUUUUUUGUGAAACACAUGUUGAUUUAGCAUUUUUUUUUUUUUUAUCCAAAUCUUAAAAACAUGCGAUUGUGUACAUUUAAACUGAAACAAGCCUAGAUUGUGACAGUUUAUUGGAUGUGCUACAAAUAAUACUAAUAUCUAAAUGUUCUAUUUCUUUUGGACUACAAUGUCAAUGCGAUCUGCAUUAUGUACAAGCUGUGUUUGAAUAUCUUCAAAGAAGAAUUUAUUUAAAUUAAUAAAAUGUUUGAUGGCCUA